rnacentral:rRNA from 1 species
UACAGAGGCCCCAAGCGUUACUGAGAAUCACUGGGUUUAAAGGGUGCGUAGGUGGUCCGUUAAGUUCGUUGUGAAAUCCCUGGGCUCAACCCAGGAAAUGCUUCGAAUACUGGCGGACUUGAGGCUAGUAGAGGUCACUGGAACUGACGGUGGAGCGGUGGAAUGCGUAGAGAUCCGGAAGAACACCGGUGGCGAAGGCGGUCUGCUGGGCAGUUGCUGACACUGAGGCGCGACAGCGUGGGGAGCAAACAGG